GGCCUACCAUGGUGGUAACGGGUAACGGGGUGUUAGGGCACGACACCGGAGAGGGAGCCUGAGAAACGGCUACCACAUCCAAGGAUGGCAGCAGGCGCGCAAAUUACCCAAUCCCGACACGGGGAGGUAGUGACAAUAAAUAACAAUACGGGGUUCUUUAGGAUCUCGUAAUUGGAAUGAGUACAAUUUAAAUCUCUUAACGAGGAACAAUUGGAGGGCAAGUCUGGUGCCAGCAGCCGCGGUAAUUCCAGCUCCAAUAGCGUAUAUUAAAGUUGUUGCAGUUAAAAAGCUCGUAGUUGAAUUUCGGGGUCAGCAGGUUGGUCGUGCCACUGGUAUGCACUGGCUUCGCUGAUUCCUCCUUUCUGAAGAACUGUAAUGUCAUUAAUUUGGUGUUGCAGGGAAACAGGACUGUUACUUUGAAAAAAUUAGAGUGUUUAAAGCAGGCUAACGCUUGAAUACAUUAGCAUGGAAUAAUGAAAUAGGACGUUCGAUCCUAUUUUGUUGGUUUCUAGGAUUGACGUAAUGAUUAAUAGGGAUAGUUGGGGGCAUUAGUAUUCAAUUGUCAGAGGUGAAAUUCUUGGAUUUAUUGAAGACUAACUACUGCGAAAGCAUUUGCCAAGGAUGUUUUCAUUAAUCAAGAACGAAAGUUAGGGGAUCGAAGACGAUCAGAUACCGUCGUAGUCUUAACCAUAAACUAUGCCGACUAGGGAUCGGAUGAUGUUAAUUUUUUAAUGACUCAUUCGGCGCCUUACG
rnacentral:rRNA from 1 species